rnacentral:rRNA from 1 species
GACGAACAGUGCGAACGUUGUUCGGAAUCACUGGGCAUAAAGGGCGCGUAGGCGGCUUUUCAAGUCAGGGGUGAAAUCCGGCAGCUCAACUGUCGAAGUGCCCUUGAUACUGAUGAGCUCGAGGGAGGUAGGGGUGUGUGGAACUUCCGGUGGAGCGGUGAAAUGCGUUGAUAUCGGAAGGAACGCCGGUGGCGAAAGCGACGCACUGGACCUCUUCUGACGCUGAGGCGCGAAAGCGUGGGGAGCGAACAGG